rnacentral:pre_miRNA from 1 species
UAAGCACACCCUAUUUACAGAUCAUAUGUUUAGUCAUGCAAGUUUAGUAGUAUACUAGCGUACCCAUACUAGCAUACCCCAGUAUCGAGGCAAGGAUACGGAUAAGGCUACAUACAAUUACCCUUUUCCAUACCUUUGCUUAGCGAGGAGCUUCCGGACACUGCAAUACGUGAGUAUGCUAAUAAACUUGUAUGACUAAACAUAUGAUCUGUAAAUAGGGUGUGCUUA